UCGGAUGUAGUGCACGGCGCACAUCAGCCCUUUAUAAGGGAUCGUGGUCCACCUACAAGCUGAAACCCGGGGUUCGACUCCCUGCAUCCGAA